rnacentral:rRNA from 1 species
GAUGAACGCUGGCGGCGUGCCUAAUACAUGCAAGUCGAGCGAACGGACGAGAAGCUUGCUUCUCUGAUGUUAGCGGCGGACGGGUGAGUAACACGUGGAUAACCUACCUAUAAGACUGGGAUAACUUCGGGAAACCGGAGCUAAUACCGGAUAAUAUUUUGAACCGCAUGGUUCAAAAGUGAAAGACGGUCUUGCUGUCACUUAUAGAUGGAUCCGCGCUGCAUUAGCUAGUUGGUAAGGUAACGGCUUACCAAGGCAACGAUGCAUAGCCGACCUGAGAGGGUGAUCGGCCGCACUGGAACUGAGACACGGUCCAGACUCCUACGGGAGGCAGCAGUAGGGAAUCUUCCGCAAUGGGCGAAAGCCUGACGGAGCAACGCCGCGUGAGUGAUGAAGGUCUUCGGAUCGUAAAACUCUGCUAUUAGGGAAGAACAUAUGUGUAAGUAACUGUGCACAUCUUGACGGUACCUAAUCAGAAAGCCACGGCUAACUACGUGCCAGCAGCCGCGGUAAUACGUAGGUGGCAAGCGUUAUCCGGAAUUAUUGGGCGUAAAGCGCGCGUAGGCGGUUUUUUAAGUCUGAUGUGAAAGCCCACGGCUCAACCGUGGAGGGUCAUUGGAAACUGGAAAACUUGAGUGCAGAAGAGGAAAGUGGAAUUCCAUGUGUAGCGGUGAAAUGCGCAGAGAUAUGGAGGAACACCAGUGGCGAAGGCGACUUUCUGGUCUGUAACUGACGCUGAUGUGCGAAAGCGUGGGGAUCAAACAGGAUUAGAUACCCUGGUAGUCCACGCCGUAAACGAUGAGUGCUAAGUGUUAGGGGGUUUCCGCCCCUUAGUGCUGCAGCUAACGCAUUAAGCACUCCGCCUGGGGAGUACGACCGCAAGGUUGAAACUCAAAGGAAUUGACGGGGACCCGCACAAGCGGUGGAGCAUGUGGUUUAAUUCGAAGCAACGCGAAGAACCUUACCAAAUCUUGACAUCCUUUGACAACUCUAGAGAUAGAGCCUUCCCCUUCGGGGGACAAAGUGACAGGUGGUGCAUGGUUGUCGUCAGCUCGUGUCGUGAGAUGUUGGGUUAAGUCCCGCAACGAGCGCAACCCUUAAGCUUAGUUGCCAUCAUUAAGUUGGGCACUCUAAGUUGACUGCCGGUGACAAACCGGAGGAAGGUGGGGAUGACGUCAAAUCAUCAUGCCCCUUAUGAUUUGGGCUACACACGUGCUACAAUGGACAAUACAAAGGGCAGCGAAACCGCGAGGUCAAGCAAAUCCCAUAAAGUUGUUCUCAGUUCGGAUUGUAGUCUGCAACUCGACUACAUGAAGCUGGAAUCGCUAGUAAUCGUAGAUCAGCAUGCUACGGUGAAUACGUUCCCGGGUCU